AACUUUUAAUAAUAAAUUUCUUAGUUCUAAUAUUAAUAAAAAAUAUAGCGAAAUAUAAUAAAUAAUAUAAAUUGUAGAAUUUAGUAAAUUAUUAAAUCUUUAAAUAUAUAUUAUAUUUAUUAGUAUUCUAGCGAAUAUAUUUAUUCGAACGUUA
rnacentral:rRNA from 2 species